UACGUAAGGGGCAAGCGUUAUCCGGAUUUACUGGGUGUAAAGGGAGCGUAGGCGGUAUGACAAGUCAGAUGUGAAAGGCAGGGGCUCAACCCCCGGACUGCAUUUGAAACUGUCAAACUAGAUUGCAGGAGAGGUAAGUGGAAUUCCUAGUGUAGUGGUGAAAUGCGUAGAUAUUAGGAGGAACACCGGUGGCGAAGGCGGCUUACUGGACUGUAAAUGACGCUGAGGCUCGAAAGCGUGGGGAGCAAACAGG
rnacentral:rRNA from 1 species